rnacentral:lncRNA from 1 species
CUCGCGAUUGGCCGCAUCAGCCUCCAGUGCCCGCCCCCGGCCCGCUGGCCCUGCCCCCGCAGAGGGGAGCAAGUGCUCGCCCGCCUGCGGUGGGUUCGGCUGCGCGGCGGGGCUGAGGCGGCCGCGGUGGCCCUAACGCAGGGAGCGGACACUGGGUUUCUGAACCUCGUCGCUGAAGACGGCCAGGACUUAAGAAGCACAGACUUCCCUGUGCUCGGGUACCCACGGAGGCGGGGGUGCGUGAAGACGCCAGGCUAAAGCAGUGCUGCUUCUUGGAAAAACUGGAAAAAGCUCUCUGGACGACGGGGG